CCCUUAGAUGUUCUGGGCCGCACGCGCGCUACAAUGGUCUUCGCAAACGGAUGCAUUCUCGAAGGAGAAUGCCAAUCUUGGAAUCUAUGCCUUGGUCGGGACAGUUGCUUGCAAUUUUUCGACUCGAACCAGGAAUUCCUUGUAAUCGUGAUUCAUCACAUCACGAUGAAUACGUCCCUGCCCUUUGUACACACCGCCCGUCGCUCCUACCGAUUGAACGAUCCGGUGAAUUAUUUGGAGUAGCUCUGGAAGUUGCAGAACUUCCUAUGUCACGAAAUUUUGUAAACCUUAUCGUUUAGAGGAAGGAAAAGUCGUAACA
rnacentral:rRNA from 1 species